UACAGAGGUCCCAAGCGUUGUUCGGAUUCACUGGGCGUAAAGGGUGCGUAGGUGGCAGGGUAAGUUUGAUGUGAAAUCUCCGGGCUUAACCCGGAAACUGCAUUGAAUACUAUCUUGCUCGAGGUUGGAGGGGGGACUGGAAUUCUCGGUGUAGCAGUGAAAUGCGUAGAUAUCGAGAGGAACACCAGUGGCGAAGGCGAGUCCCUGGACAACUCCUGACACUGAGGCACGAAAGCUAGGGGAGCAAACAGG
rnacentral:rRNA from 1 species